rnacentral:rRNA from 1 species
UACGAAGGGGGCUAGCGUUGCUCGGAAUCACUGGGCGUAAAGCGCACGUAGGCGGAUUGUUAAGUCAGGGGUGAAAUCCUGGAGCUCAACUCCAGAACUGCCUUUGAUACUGGCGAUCUCGAGUCCGGGAGAGGUGAGUGGAACUGCGAGUGUAGAGGUGAAAUUCGUAGAUAUUCGCAAGAACACCAGUGGCGAAGGCGGCUCACUGGGACGUUACUGACGCUGAGACGCGAAAGCGUGGGGAGCAAACAGG